rnacentral:rRNA from 1 species
AGUUUGAUCCUGGCUCAGAUUGAACGCUGGCGGCAUGCCUUACACAUGCAAGUCGAACGGUAACAGGUCUUCGGAUGCUGACGAGUGGCGAACGGGUGAGUAAUACAUCGGAACGUGCCCGAGAGUGGGGGAUAACGAAGCGAAAGCUUUGCUAAUACCGCAUACGAUCUCAGGAUGAAAGCAGGGGACCGCAAGGCCUUGCGCUCACGGAGCGGCCGAUGGCAGAUUAGGUAGUUGGUGGGAUAAAAGCUUACCAAGCCGACGAUCUGUAGCUGGUCUGAGAGGACGACCAGCCACACUGGGACUGAGGCACGGCCCAGACUCCUACGGGAGGCAGCAGUGGGGAAUUUUGGACAAUGGGCGCAAGCCUGAUCCAGCCAUGCCGCGUGCAGGAUGAAGGCCUUCGGGUUGUAAACUGCUUUUGUACGGAACGAAAAGACUCUGGUUAAUACCUGGGGUCCAUGACGGUACCGUAAGAAUAAGCACCGGCUAACUACGUGCCAGCAGCCGCGGUAAUACGUAGGGUGCGAGCGUUAAUCGGAAUUACUGGGCGUAAAGCGUGCGCAGGCGGUUAUAUAAGACAGAUGUGAAAUCCCCGGGCUCAACCUGGGAACUGCAUUUGUGACUGUAUAGCUAGAGUACGGCAGAGGGGGAUGGAAUUCCGCGUGUAGCAGUGAAAUGCGUAG